ACGGCCACACCGCUUCCCGUACGAUCACUGAAGUUAAGCAAUGUCGAGCUAAUUCAGUACCUAUAUGGGUGACCACUUGGGAACACCAGGUGCUGUAAG